GUAGAACUGUACAGGGAAAUGCUGAGAGGAACUGGAUGUUGAUAGGAUCAGAUAUCCGGGGAUCAGGCACGGCAUGGGUUAUUUUUCUACAGUGAGCUUGAAUGGCUUGUCUAAAGAAAAAACAUUUAGGAAGUAGUCCAUUCAACUUAUAAAAACUGGUAUCAUAUUAGUUUCAUGAUAUGUCUAAUAGACUAGCAGUUGAAAUGCACCGCUAUGCCACAAGUGUUUCUGAGCCAUGGCUGUUGCCCUUUAGCUUUUGUUUGCUUUCUAAAUAAUUUACACUAAUAAUGCAAUUCAUUUCAUUAAAUACUAUAUGAUGUGUUACUAAAGUAUAUGAUGACAAAUAGGUUGUUAUCUUGUUGGAGAAUGGUGUUUGUUUGUUUGUUUGUUUGUUUGUUUGUUUAAAUCAAGAUAAAACAUAUACCAAACAUUUCCACCCUGGUGACUCAAGCUAUGACCACCAGAUACCUACUCCUUCACCAUGGAGAAUCCUGGAUUCUGAAUUAGCUAAUAUAACCUUUAUCUGCCACAGGGUCAACCUCAGUAGUGAGAACAGUUCUAAAAAUAGUAGCUACUGUUGUUGUGCCAUACUCCAUGAUACGCACUUUAAAUACAUUUCUCUAUUGAAUCCUCACAAUAAUUCCUAAGUUGGCAGAAUAACACAGAAAGUGUAAUGAUCUGACCCCCAGAAGUGUGGAUAUGGUAGGUUACAUGGCAAAAAGGAAUCAAGGCUUCUAACUGCGAUACAAAUUGCCAGUCUGUUGACCUGGCAAUGGGGGAGAUUGGGAGCUUAGAAUGGGUCCAGUGUCUCUUGGGGUCCUUAUAAGUAUAAUGGAGAGGCACAAGAAAGAUCAUCAGAGGGAAGCAAUUAGAAAAAGACUCAAUUGACCAUUGCUGGCCUUAAAGAUGAUCGAAACAGAAGGGUUUCAUUUCUCUUAUAAAAUACCCACAGGAGGAAGACUAAAAGUAGAAAACACCACGAUGAACUUCAUGUGGGGGCUUUUCUAAACUCCAAAUAUUUUAAAACAUCAUUUUCUAUAUUAGAGGAAACAGGAGCAGACAGUUUGGUCCACUGAGCACCUCUCUUGAGAUGCUGAGUAUCUAGAAAUGUGAACUCCCAUUGCUGCUGUUAUAAAGCUGAAUAGCUAGACUGCAAUUCAUGGGGCUCAGGAAGGAAUGCCUUAAAAUGGUUUCAUUUUUAGAUAAAAGCAUUUGUUAUGUAAGUGGUAUAAAGGUUGGGCAUGCCACAGGCAAUCAUGGAGAGGUAGCCCUUGAACUUCCAAAAUUGUAUGCACGGACCGUGCUAGUCUGUGUGUACUCCCACCUACCAUCUCUGUGCUCAGCUGAGGCUGGGGAGUAGUGAAGGUGAGAGGCGGGAGUGAGGAGCGAGAGCUCUGUCGAUGAGAACAGUCAGUCACAUGGUCAUGGAUGAGAAUAGUCACAUGGUCAUGGAUGAGAAUAGUCACAUGGUCAUGGAUGAGAAUAGUCACAUGGUCAUGGAUGAGAAUAGUCACAUGGUCAUGGAUGAGAAUAGUCACAUGGUCAUGGAUGAGAAUAGUCACACGUUCAGCACCGGACUGCCUGGGCCACCUGUCCUUUGCCAGAGGUAUCCUGCAGAGCCUGGUAAACCCUAAGCAUUCCAGUCAUGAACCCACCCUCCUUCCUUAUCUCCUUCCCCCCUCUCUUCCUCCCUCCCUCUCUCCCUCUCUUCCUCCCUCCCUCUCUCCCUCUCUUCCUCCCUCCCUCCUUCCCUCUCUUUCUCUUCCCACUACCAUGUCAGCUUAGAGUCUUGCCUCCCUACCUUAGUCCAGCCUUCAGUUUUUAGCCUUCGAAUCUCAGUACUUAGACCCCACACUGCCUCAUGGUGCCAGUGGAAGGAAUUUUCUCCACAGCUCUAAUCCAGGAGAAUUCAACCCAACUCAACCCAACCCUGCUUAAUUAAUCUUCCCAUUGGUCAGUUUUUACACAACUUCUAGUUUCCUCCAACAUCUCAGUUUAAGGGUCCCAUCUACAUAACAACGAUUGAACAAGAGCUACGUCUUGCUUGGCAUUCCAUCAAAGAUGUACACUGUCAGCGCUUAUCAGUGAUUUAAGGCAAUGCUAAGUCCCCAUGCUUGCGGAUCAGUGAUGUUCAGCAACAAAUGUUGUUGAGUUCCUACCACUCACUGUAGACGUUCUUCACCAAGCUUCUGGCAACCUUGUGAGACUUUCAAGGGAGGAAGCAAAGGAUUAAAGAGAUUAACUUACUUGCCCAAGGUCACACAGCCAGUAAUCGGCACAGCCAAAUUUUGAUGCCAGCUUGGGCUGUGGCCUGCUGCCUCCUUCUAUAAAUAUCUACUAAGCACUUGGUUCUUUGCAACGUAUGUCCUAACCUUCUACAGAGUCAAACUACAUUAAGAUAUCUGGGGAACCCCUCAUCAGCUUCUUGGCCCUGCUCCAGGAAGCCAACACUCCAGAGCCUGCUAACUGGAAAGAUGGUCAGCUAUAGGGCUUUUAGGAAAGAUGGCCAGUCAGCGGCUGGCAACACUGAUGCGAACCCUUUGAAAGGCCUGACAGGAAAUAACCGGCUGCUUCAGGCUCAGUUGCUGAGGGACGUGCUCAAGUGGAUGACACUCAACAGGUUUAUAUAACACAUUCCUCCAGUGCUUGGGGUUCCCAUGGCACCAGGAAAAAAAAAACCUCCACAGUGAGACUCUUUCAGUUUGUUCACUGAUGGGGGACACUGGGUGGCUUUAAGGAGUAGAUUUCAGAUACACAAAACUUCACAGUCUGGAAACUUCUUGAGAACUUUGGUAGGCUAUUCAGAAGAUAGGGGCAGUGUCCUUUUCUUCUCUGUGAACACCAACCACUACCUGCUUAGAAAAUUGAGACUCACUGCCCCUCCCCCCAUCACCAGUUAAAACUUUCUUCGCUCUCUUCGUUUACCUCUUUUGCAAAUUGUCUACUCUGCAAGCUCCAACCAAUGUGCCUUUUAAUUAACUCAUCUCUCUUGCCAUCGCCACCACAUAGGUACGGCAUCUGUUGGUCGUUCCACUCCUUGCCCUGAGGUGGGCUCUUGGUUUAGUUUAAUGCUUGCACACAAACUUCUUAGAGAUUGUACGUUUGGAUUUUGCUGUGGGUCACGGAGAUCCCAUAACUAGUCUUGCUCCUUGCUGUGACAGUGGAAUAGAAGGAAGACAAGAUUAUAGGAGAUAUGAAGGGGUGAUGUCCUUGUCCCUCUUUCAUAAGCCUACAUGAAUUUUUUUCCAUGGAGGCAGUUCACAAAGGUGGGGAAGCACGCAGUGUUUCCAUCAUUCUUGGCCUUAGUUUCUUCGUCUCUAAAAUGGGAGCAACAACACUCCCCCUUAUAUGUUUCAAUGGCCACUGAGUAGUGUCCUGUGGACAGCACAUAGAAGGCCUUAGGAACAUUGACCU
rnacentral:lncRNA from 1 species